CAGCCCCGGGGUAUAUGCCCCGCCUCCCCGGCCCUACACACGUUCCCUGUCUCGGGCCACGCCCAUGGGAGGCGGUGCCACACGCUCACAAGCUACUGGUUGGAGCCUUGCUGUAGUGAAGGCUUACUAGGGACAGACACAGUACACAAAGAGCUCGGUAGCUUUGUCUUACGCUGUGCUGCCGGGUGAUUCGCUCUAAGAAUGUCAUCGAUCAUCGAUUUUGUUUUGGGAUGCGCGAUGCGCGCGGAUGAAGGACUGACCACCAUUGAAAGAAAUAUCUUGUCCUUUGUGGAUGUGUUAGAGACAAUAAGGAGAUCUCGUAACCCCCCAAGACAGAAAAGACAAUCAAAUAAGAACAAGAUGAAACACCACCGCCAGGGAGAUUAGUGUGGGUGUGGCCGCGCUGGUGUGGGUGACAACAUCAACUGCUGCCUAAUCCUUGUCAGUGGGGGGGUGCAGUUAUACUGAGGUCCAUGGUGAGGUCAGCUGUGAUCACGCGGCAAUCCUCUAGGAGAGGCCGGCAGAC